AACCGCUUCAACAACUGUCUCAGU
rnacentral:snRNA from 1 species